CGCAUCCCGAACACGGUAGUUAAGCUUCUCUGCGCCAAUGGUAGUUGGGGGCUUCCCCCUGCGAGAGUAGGUCGCUGCCGGGC
rnacentral:rRNA from 1 species